rnacentral:rRNA from 1 species
AGCCCUGAAAAUGGAUGGCGCUAGAGCGUCAAGCCUAUACCAGGCCGUCGCCGGACUACGAGCCCCCCGGGUGCAAUGCGGCGACGAGUAGGAGGGCCGCCGCGGUGAGCACUGAAGCCUUGGGCGCGAGCCUGGGUGGAGCCGCCGCGGGUGCAGAUCUUGGUGGUAGUAGCAAAUAUUCAAACGAGAACUUUGAAGGCCGAGAAGGA